GACGAACGCUGGCGGCGUGCUUAACACAUGCAAGUCGAACGGAAAGGCCUGCUUUCCCUUGUGGAUUGCGGGUACUCGAGUGGCGAACGGGUGAGUAACACGUGAGUGAUCUGCCCCCGACUUGGGUAUAAGCCUGGGAAACUGGGUCUAAUUCCCGAUAGGACUGCAGGGUGGUGCCUGUGGUGGAAAACGAUUUUCUAGUGGUUGGGGAUGAGCUCGCGGCCUAUCAGCUUGUUGGUGGGGUAAUGGCCUACCAAGGCGGCGACGGGUAGCCGGCCUGAGAGGGUGGACGGACACAUUGGGACUGAGAUACGGCCGAGACUCCUACGGGAGGCAGCAGUGGGGAAUAGUGCACAAUGGGCGGAAGCCUGAUGCAGCGACGCCGAGUGGGGGAUGACGGCCUUCGGGUUGUAAACUCCUUUCGACCGCGAGGAAGCCACCUGGUUGGAAGGGUGGUGACGGUAGUGGUAGAAGAAGCACCGGCUAACUACGUG
rnacentral:rRNA from 1 species